GCCAUAGCUCAGUGGUAGAUCUUCUCCCUUAGAAUGCAGAAGGUCCCAGGUUCAAACCCCAGCAUCUCCA